AGAGUUUGAUCCUGGCUCAGGACGAACGCUGGCGGCGCGCCUAACACAUGCAAGUCGAACGAGCGAGAGAGAGCUUGCUUUCUCAAGCGAGUGGCGAACGGGUGAGUAACGCGUGAGGAACCUGCCUCAAAGAGGGGGACAACAGUUGGAAACGACUGCUAAUACCGCAUAAGCCCACGGCUCGGCAUCGAGCAGAGGGAAAAGGAGCAAUACGCUUUGAGAUGGCCUCGCGUCCGAUUAGCUAGUUGGUGAGGUAACGGCCCACCAAGGCGACGAUCGGUAGCCGGACUGAGAGGUUGAACGGCCACAUUGGGACUGAGACACGGCCCAGACUCCUACGGGAGGCAGCAGUGGGGAAUAUUGCGCAAUGGGGGAAACCCUGAUGCAGCGACGCCGCGUGGAGGAAGAAGGUCUUCGGAUUGUAAACUCCUGUUGUUGAGGAAGAUAAUGACGGUACUCAACAAGGAAGUGACGGCUAACUACGUGCCAGCAGCCGCGGUAAAACGUAGGUCACAAGCGUUGUCCGGAAUUACUGGGUGUAAAGGGAGCGCAGGCGGGAAGACAAGUUGGAAGUGAAAUCCAUGGGCUCAACCCAUGAACUGCUUUCAAAACUGUUUUUCUUGAGUAGUGCAGAGGUAGGCGGAAUUCCCGGUGUAGCGGUGGAAUGCGUAGAUAUCGGGAGGAACACCAGUGGCGAAGGCGGCCUACUGGGCACCAACUGACGCUGAGGCUCGAAAGUGUGGGUAGCAAACAGGAUUAGAUACCCUGGUAGUCCACACUGUAAACGAUGAUUACUAGGUGUUGGAGGAUUGACCCCUUCAGUGCCGCAGUUAACACAAUAAGUAAUCCACCUGGGGAGUACGACCGCAAGGUUGAAACUCAAAGGAAUUGACGGGGGCCCGCACAAGCAGUGGAGUAUGUGGUUUAAUUCGACGCAACGCGAAGAACCUUACCAAGUCUUGACAUCCUGCGACGGUUCUGGAAACAGAACUUUCCUUCGGGACGCAGAGACAGGUGGUGCAUGGUUGUCGUCAGCUCGUGUCGUGAGAUGUUGGGUUAAGUCCCGCAACGAGCGCAACCCUUAUGGUCAGUUACUACGCAAGAGGACUCUGGCCAGACUGCCGUUGACAAAACGGAGGAAGGUGGGGAUGACGUCAAAUCAUCAUGCCCUUUAUGACUUGGGCUACACACGUACUACAAUGGCGUUAAACAAAGAGAAGCAAGACCGCGAGGUGGAGCAAAACUCAGAAACAACGUCCCAGUUCGGACUGCAGGCUGCAACUCGCCUGCACGAAGUCGGAAUUGCUAGUAAUCGCAGAUCAGCAUGCUGCGGUGAAUACGUUCCCGGGCCUUGUACACACCGCCCGUCACACCAUGAGAGCCGGGGGGACCCGAAGUCGGUAGUC
rnacentral:rRNA from 1 species